rnacentral:rRNA from 1 species
GGGCCCGCACAAGUGGUGGAGCAUGUGGUUUAAUUCGAUGCAACGCGAAGAACCUUACCAACCCUUGAAAUCUAGCGAAGUUCACAGAGAUGAGAAUGUGCCUUCGGGAACGCUAUGACAGGUGUUGCAUGGCUGUCGUCAGCUCGUGUCGUGAGAUGUAUGGUUAAGUCCAGUAACGAGCGCAACCCCUAUCCUUAUUUGCCAGCGCGUUAAGGCGGGAACUAUAGGGAGACUGCCGGGUGAAACCCCGGAGGAAGGCGGGGACGAGGUCAAGUCAUCAUGGCCCUUAUGGGUUGGGCUACACACGUGCUACAAUGGGAAGUACAGAGGGAUGCGAAAGCGUGAGCUGGA